GUAAUAGCAGCUGCGCGCUUACAGGAAGAGUUCGCCAUUUUGUUUGGCAAAACACACAAUCGAUAGCGCUAUCUACAUUUACAUCUACAUCUGAUUAAUUUUCGUGAAUUGUCGUCUUUCUAGAAAAUACUGUAGAAAUUAUUGAAUGCUAAAAUGGCAGAUAAGCAAUCAUUAAACUCGUACAAGGAUCGGCUAGAAGGUAAGGAAAGGACAAGAUACAAGGAAAAAAUUUCCUUGAUAGGCGGAAGAGAUCCGUACGCUUUGAGUAAGGGCGAUCUCGUCAGUGACAAUAAAUGUCUGCCAUCAGUCACAUACAUUGACAUUGUAAAUUAUUAUGCCCCCCUUUGAAGAAGAGGGGUAUAUUGCUUUGCUCAUGUCGGUCUGUCUGUCGGUCUGUCAGUCGGUCCGUCCACCAGGUGGUUGUCAGACGAUAACUCAAGAGCGCUUGGGCCUAGGAUCAUGAAACUUCAUAGGUACAUUGAUCAUGACUCGCAGAUGACCCCUAUUGAUUUUGAGGUCACUAAGUCAAAGGUCAAGGUCACGGUGACCUGAAUUAGUAAAAUGGUUUUUGAAUGAUAACUCAAGAAUGCAUACGCCUAGGAUCAUGAAACUUUAUGGGUAGAUUGAUCAUGACUUGCAGAUGACCCCUAUUGAUUUUGAGGUCACUAGGUCAAAGGUCAAGGUCAUGGUGACCCGAAAUAGUAAAAUGGUUUCUGGAUGAUAACUCCAGAAUGCAUACGCCUAGGAUCAUGAAACUUCAUGGGUAGAUUGAUCAUAACUCGCAGAUGACCCCUUUUGAUUUUGAGGUCACUAGGUCAAAGGUCAAGGUCACGGUGACCCAAAAUAGUAAAAUGGUUUUCGGAUGAUAACUCAAAAACGCAUACGCCUAAGAUCAUGAAACUUCAUAGGUAGAUUGAUCAUGACUUGCAGAUGACCCCUAUUGAUUUUGAGGUCACAAGGUCAAAGGUCAAGGUCACGGUGACCCGAAAUAGUAAAUUGAUUUUGGGAUGAUAACUCAAGAACGCUUUUGCCUAGGAUCAUGACACUUCAUAGGUACAUUGAUCGUGACUCGCAGAUGACCCCUAUUGAUUUUCAGGUCACUAGGUCAAAGGUCAAGGUCACAGUGACAAAAAUCGUAUUCACACAAUGGCUGCCACUACAACGGACAGCCCAUAUGGGGGGCAUGCAUGUUUUACAAACAGCCCUUGUUUAAUUAACACUAAACGUGCAUAUACAUUUGAGCAGCUGAAAGCGUACAAAUCUAUGGAAGCAAUCAACCAGUUGAGCUGUGGUUGGGUUCGUGACGUACAGAGCAUGACUGUAAAUGACAAUGUUUUGUAGACUGCAAAGGUUCGACACUCCCAGCAGAUGAACGCAACACCACUUCAUCCCUGGGUCAUCGCCAAUAAAGACGGUAUGGUAGAGGCAGCACAUUGCGACUGCAAAGCUGGUCUCAGGGAGACUUGUAGCCAUGUUGGAGCCUUGCUUUUCCACAUAGAGGCUAUACAUCGCCUCAUGUCCCGCAGAACUGUGACAUAGGAAAAGGCUUACUGGUCCAUGCCUUCAGCAGUCGACAAGGUGCCCUAUGCUGAAGUUCGGGAUAUCGAUUUCACUUCUGUGUCAACCAAGAAAAGACGUCUUGACAGUGUUAUUAAUGGUGAGGACGUUCAACAAGAGCGACAACCUUUAAAAUUGCCAUAUGUACCUGAACCAACCGCACUAGAAAGGUGGGAGUUAUUGCGAGAUUUGCAUGCCGCAAACGCACGUUCCUCAGUUCUAACUGUCUCGUCUGGAUUCCAGGAUGAAUUUAUACCGCACAUUCUUCAAGAUGGAAAUCUUCCUCAGCCCCUCAGAAAUGUGCAAAUGAAAACUGUCCACAUGGUUUCCUGCAUUUUAAAUGCAUUUCAAUCAAAAGAAAACCCAAACCCCCUUAUUACUGUCCAUUGUGCAGACAUAAGAUGUGGAAGUAAUAUCCACUUGUGACACUCAACUGUGAUUGAUACAGAUACAAGUUAUUGUUGAGGAUGACCAUUGAUAUUUAAUCAGUUUUAGUUGCUUCCCACUUUAUGGUAACUGUGAUAUAACAAAUAUUUUGUAUGUGUUAUUUAUGCAUGUAAUUACUGGUAUGAUAUCUUGAAAGCGCAGUCUGAUCAGGAUCCAAACUGUUCGCUAUGCAGUCAGUAAAACAAGGAUGUUAAUCCAACAGUCUGGAUUUUGAUAAGACUGUGUUUUCAGAAGCAGGCUGAUCUGGAUCAAAACUGGUAGCAUUUGCCAUAAAGUCUCUUUUCCCGUGACACUGUAUGUCAUGAUAUGCACAUGUAUGCCUGUCUCUUCAUUACUUAAAUGUGCUUUUCUUGCAAAGCUAAGGCCACAUCAAAUUGUUUACACGUUGUUGCUUUUUUAACAAAUAGGUAUUUUUUCUGAAGCAAGCAAAAAAAGAAAUUUAGUUUUAAUAAUUUUUAUAUUUUUGCUAUCAACAAGAUUUAUCCUUAGCUACAUGUACAGAUGCCAGAAAUUCUAUAAAAAAUAAAACAACAUAUAUGAACAGAAGCACGCGAACAAAUACUAUAUACAUGUAUAAUUAAGAACAUUCUUUUUUCCUUUUCGGAAUAAAUUAGAGCGAGUAUCUUGUUAUCAAAUUGAUGUGGCUGUCGUCUAAUAUAUUAUUCCUUUCGUAUAGCAUGUGCUACUGUUUACCGACUGUUUACCUUAGUGCUUUCAGGUUAGGGUUUGCAUAUUGAAUGUUAAAUAAAUCUUGAAUAUUUUAUGUUGUUGAUGUUACUUGUAAAGUAUGCGUCCAGUCAUAUAAAAUUUGUUGCGUACGGCGAUUGUGACCGAUUUGGAUUCGGAACCAAUUCUGCCUCCACUUGAAAGCGUAGUAUCGCUACUAAUCUGAGCAGGAUCCAAACUGUUCGCCAUUCAGUCAAUAACAAAAAAAAAAUCACAGAUCCAAUCUGAUUGUUAUUCAGUCAAUAAAGCAAAGCACGGGCUGAUCUGAAUCCAAACUGGUCACAAUCACCUUAAGGUCCAUUUUCCUGUGAUCCAACUCAUAAAAUUCUGAAAUGUCUCCAGCACUGCACAAGAAAAAUUAUGUUUAUGUUUUUUAUUUAGUGACAGAAAUAAAUAAAUGUACAAUCCAUAAUCAUUCUCAUGUUACCAUUAGUAUGUAUUAAAAACUGAUUCAGGUCUCCGCAUAACCAAGCCUGGCAUUUCAAGAUGGUGUUAUUUUAAAAAUUAUUUUUGCAUUCAUUCAAAAUUAUACAAUGUAUACACGUUAAAAUUGAAAUGCAAUAAAAAGAUGAAGCAUAAUCUUCUGUCACUUUAGACUUGUUCUUAUUAUAUCUAGACAGUAAUAUAUAUCAGGUAGCACAUACAUUUCAUAUGAUCCUUUAGAUGUCACUUUCAUGUUGUUUUGACAGUUACCUUCACAAAAAAACUUAUUAAUUGAACCCAAUUACAGAUUCAUUCAUGUUGGUUAACGCACAACAAACCGUAGUUAUUUUAUCAAUUGCGGGAACAAUUCCUUUUUAUGUCCCCCACUAUAGUAGUGGGGGACAUAUUGUUUUUGCCCUGUCUGUUGGUCUGUUGGUCUGUUUGCGCCAACUUUAACAUUUUUGCAAUAACUUUUGCUAUAUUGAAGAUAGCAACUUCAUAUUUGGCAUGCAUGUGUAUCUCAGGAAGCUGCACAUUUUGAGUGGUAAAAGGUCAAGGUCAUCCUUCAAGGUCAGAGGUCAAAUAUAUGUGGCCAAAAUCGCUCAUUUUAUAAAUACUUUUGCAAUAUUGAAGAUAGCAACUUGAUAUUUGGCAUGCAUGUGUAUCUCAUGGAGCUGCACAUUUUGAGUGGUGAAAGGUCAAGGUCAAGGUCAUCCUUCAAGGUCAGAGGUCAAAUAUAUGUGGCCCAAAUCGCUUAUUUUAUGAAUACUUUUGCAAUAUUGAAGAUAGCAACUUGAUAUUUUGCAUGCAUGUGUAUCUCAUGGAGCUGCACAUUUUGAGUGGUGAAAGGUCAAGGUCAAGGUCAUCCUUCACAAGGUCAAGGUCAUCCUACAAGGUCAAACAUCAUAUAGGGGGACAUUGUGUUUCACAAACACAU